AGGUGAUCCAACCGCAGGUUCCCCUACGGUUACCUUGUUACGACUUCACCCCAGUCAUGAAUCACAAAGUGGUAAGCGCCCUCCCGAAGGUUAAGCUACCUACUUCUUUUGCAACCCACUCCCAUGGUGUGACGGGCGGUGUGUACAAGGCCCGGGAACGUAUUCACCGUAGCAUUCUGAUCUACGAUUACUAGCGAUUCCGACUUCAUGGAGUCGAGUUGCAGACUCCAAUCCGGACUACGACAGACUUUAUGUGGUCCGCUUGCUCUCGCGAGUUCGCUUCACUUUGUAUCUGCCAUUGUAGCACGUGUGUAGCCCUACUCGUAAGGGCCAUGAUGACUUGACGUCAUCCCCACCUUCCUCCGGUUUGUCACCGGCAGUCUCCCUUGAGUUCCCACCAUUACGUGCUGGCAACAAAGGAUAAGGGUUGCGCUCGUUGCGGGACUUAACCCAACAUUUCACAACACGAGCUGACGACAGCCAUGCAGCACCUGUCUCAC
rnacentral:rRNA from 1 species